CCCUUAGAUGUUCUGGGCCGCACGCGCGCUACACUGACGAAGUCAGCGAGCAUGUCCUACGCCGACAGGUGCGGGGAAUCUUGUCAAACUUCGUCGUGAUGGGGAUUGAUUAUUGAAAUUCUUGAUCAUCAACGAGGAAUUCCUAGUAAGCGCAAGUCAGCAGCUUGCGUUGAUUACGUCCCUGCCCUUUGUACACACCGCCCGUCGCUACUACCGAUUGAAUGGUUUAGUGAGAUCUUAGGAUUGGCGCCACUGCGGCUCAGCAAUGGGCUCGGUGGAUGCCGAAAAGUUGAUCAAACUUGAUCAUUUAGAGGAAGUAAAAGUCGUAACA
rnacentral:rRNA from 1 species